rnacentral:rRNA from 1 species
AGAACGACUCUCGGCAAUGGAUAUCUCGGCUCUUGCAUCGAUGAAGAGCGCAGCGAAAUGCGAUACGUGGUGCGAAUUGCAGAAUCCCGUGAAC